rnacentral:rRNA from 1 species
AUGGCAGAGGCCGUGUUGGGGCCGCUUGUAGGGAGGCUGCAGGAGCUGGCGAUCAGCGAGGCGCGGGCGAUGGUGGCGGUGAACGACGACGUCCGGAGCCUCCGCGACAAGCUCAUGUGGAUGCAAGCAUUCAUCCGCGACGCUGAGCCGAGGCGGCGCACCAAGAACGACGAACUCAUCAGGGUCUGCCUGCAGCAGACCCGCGACGCCGUCUUCGACGCCGAGGACGCCGUCGACCAGUAUUUCUUUCGGGUCGACCUCUCCAGGUAUCCAAGUUGGAGUCAUACCAUCGUCAAGAUCUCGCGUGACUUGUUCACUCAAGUGCGCGUGCGGAGCGACCUUUCAAAGAGGAUCAAAGUGAUCAACAGAAGGCUUGAGAGCAUCGUUGAGAACAAGGGAAAGUAUAAAGUCGACGAUGGAAGUGAAACCACACCAGUCACCACUUGGAGACCAUAUACUGCCAUCUCAGUUACUAGUGAAAAGUUGACCUGGCCACGAGGAGGGUGCUAG